rnacentral:rRNA from 1 species
CCAGUCUGCAUGGAGCCGACCUUGAAAUACCACCCUUUAAUGUUUGAUGUUCUAACGUGGACCCGUGAUCCGGGUUGCGGACAGUGUCUGGUGGGUAGUUUGACUGGGGCGGUCUCCUCCUAAAGAGUAACGGAGGAGCACGAAGGUUGGCUAAUCCUGGUCGGACAUCAGGAGGUUAGUGCAAUGGCAUAAGCCAGCUUGACUGCGAGCGUGACGGCGCGAGCAGGUGCGAAAGCAGGUCAUAGUGAUCCGGUGGUUCUGAAUGGAAGGGCCAUCGCUCAACGGAUAAAAGGUACUCCGGGGAUAACAGGCUGAUACCGCCCAAGAGUUCAUAUCGACGGCGGUGUUUGGCACCUCGAUGUCGGCUCAUCACAUCCUGGGGCUGAAGUAGGUCCCAAGGGUAUGGCUGUUCGCCAUUUAAAGUGGUACGCGAGCUGGGUUUAGAACGUCGUGAGACAGUUCGGUCCCUAUCUGCCGUGGGCGCUGGAGAACUGAGGGGGGCUGCUCCUAGUACGAGAGGACCGGAGUGGACGCAUCACUGGUGUUCGGGUUGUCAUGCCAAUGGCACUGCCCGGUAGCUAAAUGCGGAAGAGAUAAGUGCUGAAAGCAUCUAAGCACGAAACUUGCC